rnacentral:rRNA from 1 species
CCUGUUCCCAUGUCGAACACAGAAGUUAAGCUUCUUAGCGCCGAGAGUAGUUGGGGGAUCGCUCCCUGCGAGGGUAGGACGUUGCCAUGC